GACGAACGCUGGCGGCGUGCCUAAUACAUGCAAGUCGAACGAACCGCGACUAAGUGCUUGCACUAAGUCAAGGUGAGUGGCGAACGGGUGAGUAACACGUGGGUAACCUACCUCAUAGUGGGGGAUAACAGUCGGAAACGACUGCUAAUACCGCAUAGGACAUAGGAUCACAUGAUCCAGUGAGGAAAGGUGGCGCAAGCUAUCGCUAAGAGAUGGACCCGCGGUGCAUUAGCUAGUUGGUAGGGUAAAGGCCUACCAAGGCGAUGAUGCAUAGCCGACCUGAGAGGGUGAUCGGCCACAUUGGGACUGAGACACGGCCCAAACUCCUACGGGAGGCAGCAGUAGGGAAUCUGCCGCAAUGGACGCAAGUCUGACGGAGCAACGCCGCGUGAGUGAAGAAGGUCUUCGGAUCGUAAAGCUCUGUUGUUAGAGAAGAACAGCGCAUAGAGUAACUGCUAUGCGUGUGACGGUAUCUAACCAGAAAGCCACGGCUAACUACGU
rnacentral:rRNA from 1 species